rnacentral:rRNA from 1 species
GAUGAACGCUAGCGACAGGCUUAACACAUGCAAGUCGAGGGGCAGCAUAAAAGUAGCAAUACUUUGGUGGCGACCGGCGCACGGGUGAGUAACGCGUAUGCAACCUACCUAUCAGAGGGGGAUAACCCGGCGAAAGUCGGACUAAUACCGCAUAAAACAGGGGCACCGCAUGGUGAUAUUUGUUAAAGAUUAAUUGCUGAUAGAUGGACAUGCGUUCCAUUAGGUAGUUGGUGAGGUAACGGCUCACCAAGCCGACGAUGGAUAGGGGAACUGAGAGGUUGGUCCCCCAACUGGUACUGAGACACGGACCAGACUCCUACGGGAGGCAGCAGUGAGGAAUAUUGGUCAAUGGGCGAGAGCCUGAACCAGCCAAGUCGCGUGAAGGAAGAAGGAUCUAUGGUUCGUAAACUUCUUUUGCUAGGGGAAUAAAGUGGAGGACGUGUCCUCUUUGUAUGUACCCUGAGAAUAAGGAUCGGCUAACUCCGUGCCAGCAGCCGCGGU